AUUGAACGCUGGAGGCAGGCUUAACACAUGCAAGUCGAGCGAGCGGCGGACGGGUGAGUAAUGUCUGGGAAACUGCCUGAUGGAGGGGGAUAACUACUGGAAACGGUAGCUAAUACCACAUACCAUCAGAUGUGCCCAGAUGGGAUUAGCUAGUAGGUGGGGUAAUGGCUCACCUAGGCGACGAUCCCUAGCUGGGCUGAGAGGAUGACAAGCCACACUGGAAAUGAGACACGGCACAGACGCCUACGGGAGGCACCAGUGGGGACUAUUCCACAAUGGGCGACAGCCUGAUGCAACUAUGCAGACUACGUGACGACGGCCCUCGGGUUGCAACGCACUUUCAGCGAGGAGGCGUUACUCGCAGAAGAAGCACCGGCUAACUCCGUGCCAGCCUCCGCGGUAAUAC
rnacentral:rRNA from 1 species